GAUGAACGCUGGCGGCGUGCCUAAUACAUGCAAGUCGAGCGAACAGAUAAGGAGCUUGCUCCUUUGACGUUAGCGGCGGACGGGAGAGUAACACGUGGUUAACCUACCUAUAAGACUGGAAUAACUCCGGGAAACCGGGGCUAAUGCCGGAUAACAUUUAGAACCGCAUGGUUCUAAAGUGAAAGAUGGUUUUGCUAUCACUUAUAGAUGGACCCGCGCCGUAUUAGCUAGUUGGUAAGGUAGCGGCUUACCAAGGCAACGAUACGUAGCCGACCUGCGAGGGUGAUCGGCCACACUGGAGCUGAGACACGGUCCAGACUCCUACGGGAGGCAGCAGUAGGGAAUCUUCCGAGAUGGGCGAAAGCCUGACGGAGCAACGCCGGGUGAGUGAUGAAGGUCUUCGGAUCGUAAAACGCUGUUAUUAGGGAAGAACAAAUGUGUAAGUAACUGUGCACGUCUUGACGGUACCUAAACAAAAAGCAACGGCUAACUACGUG
rnacentral:rRNA from 1 species